UAGCAUAUGCUUGUCUCAAAGAUUAAGCCAUGCAUGUCUCAGUGUAAACACUAGUAUUGUGAAACUGCGAAUGGCUCAUUAUAUCAGUGAUAAUCUCUUUGAUAGUGCGCGGCACAUGGAUAACUGUGCUAACCGUAGAGCUAAUACAUGCCCAGAUUCCUGGAUGAAUAAUCCAGGGAGCAUUUAUUAGAUUCGAACCAACCUGGUGACGGUAGUUGCCGGUGCGGAUGAAUCAUAAUAACUUUGCGAAUCACAGAGCCCUUUUUGGGCGGUGAUGCAUCAUUCGAAUCUCUGCCCUAUCAGCUUUGGAUGGUAGUGUCGUGGACUACCAUGGCGAUAACGGGUAACGGAGAAUUAGGGUUCGAUUCCGGAGAGGGAGCCUGAGAAAUGGCUACCACAUCCAAGGAAGGCAGCAGGCGCGUAAAUUACCCAAUCCUGACUCAGGGAGGUAGUGACCAUAACUAACGACGCUCGGCCAUCGGUUGAGCGAUCGGAAUGCGAGAAGUUUUAAGCCCUUCUCGAAAGCAACUGGAGGGCAAGUCUGGUGCCAGCAGCCGCGGUAAUACCAGCUCCAGUAGCGUAUAUUAAAGUUGUUGCAGUUAAAAAGCUCGUAGUUGGAUGUCGGGAGACGCCUCUUUGGUAUCCGCCACUCUGUUUCAGGAGUGGUCUGUGAUCCAGAGGAUGAAUCCUUUUUUUUGAUCUGGCUGGAAUCGGGCAGUUCUGUGCAUUCAUUUGCAYGAGCUGUCGCCAACGGUUUCGGUCGUGUUACUGUGAAGAAAUCAGAGUGCUCAAAGCAGGCAUUUGCCAGAAUGGAUUAGCAUGGGAUAACCACCCUCGACCUCGUUCUUUGGGUGUUGGUUCAAAAGAAUGAUGGCGCUUGAUUAAUAGGGACAGUUGGGGGCAUUCGUAUUCCGAAGUCAGAGGUGAAAUUCUUGGAUUUUCGGAAGACGAACAUAUGCGAAAGCAUUUGCCAAGGAUGUUUUCAUUAAUCAAGAACGAAAGUUCGGGGAUCGAAGACGAUCAGAUACCGUCGUAGUCCGAACCAUAAACGAUGCCGACUAGGGAUUGGAAGAUGUGCAUUCCGCCGUCUUUCAGCACCUUCCGAGAAAUCAAAGUUUUUGGGUUCCGGGGGGAGUAUGGUCGCAAGGCUGAAACUUAAAGGAAUUGACGGAAGGGCACCACCAGGAGUGGAGCCUGCGGCUUAAUUUGACUCAACACGGGGAAACUUACCAGGUCCAGACAUAGGAAGGAUUGACAGAUUGACAGCUCUUUCUUGAUUCUAUGGGUGGUGGUGCAUGGCCGUUCUUAGUUGGUGGAGUGAUUUGUCUGGUUAAUUCCGAUAACGAACGAGACCUUCACCUCUAAAUAGUGUAGAUCUCUCAUAUUACUGAGAUUCAUAUUCGUACACUUCUUAGAGGGACGAUGUGCGUUAGCACAAGGAAGUUGGAGGCAAUAACAGGUCUGUGAUGCCCUUAGAUGUCCUGGGCCGCACGCGUGCUACACUGACGGAUCCAACAAGUUUGCUCUUGACCUGGACUGAAAGGUUUGGGAAAUCUAGCAAUGUCCGUCGUGAUGGGGAUCGACCCUUGCAAUUUGGUCGUGAACGAGGAAUUCCUUGUAAGCGCGAGUCAUCAUCUCGCGUUGAAUACGUCCCUGCCCUUUGUACACACCGCCCGUCGCUCCUACCGAUGGAUGGUCCGGUGAAAUCUUCGGAUGUUCUUUUUUUUGUAUUUCUUUCUUUUUUUUGAGGAAGAAAUCGAAGAGCAGAAGUUGAUUAAACUUUAUCAUCUAGAGGAAGGAGAAGUCGUAACAAGGUUUCC
rnacentral:rRNA from 1 species